rnacentral:rRNA from 1 species
AGUGAACGCUGGCGGUAGGCCUAACACGUGCAAGUCGAACGGCAGCACAGUAAGAGCUUGCUCUUACGGGUGGCGAGUGGCGGACGGGUGAGGAAUACAUCGGAAUCUACUUUUUCGUGGGGGAUAACGUAGGGAAACUUACGCUAAUACCGCAUACGACCUACGGGUGAAAGCAGGGGAUCUUCGGACCUUGCGCGAUUGAAUGAGCCGAUGUCGGAUUAGCUAGUUGGCGGGGUAAAGGCCCACCAAGGCGACGAUCCGUAGCUGGUCUGAGAGGAUGAUCAGCCACACUGGAACUGAGACACGGUCCAGACUCCUACGGGAGGCAGCAGUGGGGAAUAUUGGACAAUGGGCGCAAGCCUGAUCCAGCCAUACCGCGUGGGUGAAGAAGGCCUUGGGGUUGUAAAGCCCUUUUGUUGGGAAAGAAAAGCAGCAGGUUAAUACCCCGCUGUUCUGACGGUACCCAAAGAAUAAGCACCGGCUAACUUCGUG